UGCCCAGCAACUCCUAUCCCUACACCUCCACACGGUACCGGCCGGAAACUAUGAGCAACCUUAGGGAAGAUCGGGUAACCAACCCCGGUGGGAACUUUGGUCGUAGGCUAACAGGGAAGG
rnacentral:ribozyme from 1 species